GACGAACGCUGGCGGCGUGCUUAACACAUGCAAGUCGAACGGAAAGGCCUCUUUCGGGGGGUACUCGAGUGGCGAACGGGUGAGUAACACGUGAGUAACCUGCCCUUGACUUUGGGAUAACUUCAGGAAACUGGGGCUAAUACCGGAUAGGAGAUCCUGCUGCAGGGUGGGGGUUGGAAAGUUUCGGCGGUUGGGGGUGGACUCGCGGCUUAUCAGCUUGUUGGUGGGGUAGUGGCUUACCAAGGCUUUGACGGGUAGCCGGCCUGAGAGGGUGACCGGCCACAUUGGGACUGAGAUACGGCCCAGACUCCUACGGGAGGCAGCAGUGGGGAAUAUUGCACAAGGGGUGGAAGCCUGAUGCAGCAACGCCGUGGGCGGGAUGACGGUCUUCGGGUUGUAAACCGCUUUCGCUCAUGACGAAGCUUUGUGUGACGGUAGUGGGUAAAGAAGCACCGGCUAACUACGUG
rnacentral:rRNA from 1 species